GACGAACGCUGGCGGCGUGCCUAAUGCAUGCAAGUCGAGCGGGCUACGAUCUUCGGAUUGUAGCUUAGCGGCGAACGGGUGAGUAACACGUAGGUAAUCUACCCUUCAGAGGAGGACAACCUCAGGAAACUGAGGCUAAACCUUCAUACGUUCACUGGUAGGGAUACUGGUGAAGAAAGAGUUACCUUAAAGGUAGCUGCUGAAGGAUGAGCCUGCGGCCCAUCAGGUAGUUGGUGAGGUAACGGCUCACCAAGCCCGAAGACGGGUAACCGGUCUGAGAGGAUGUCCGGUCACACUGGGACUGAGACGACAGCCCAGACUCCUACGGGAGGCAGCAGUAGGGAAUUUUCGGCAAUGGGGGGAACCCUGACCGAGCGAUGCCGCGUGAGUGAUGAAGGUCUUCGGACUGUAAAACUCUGUUAUUAGGGAAGAAUACUAUAGGGAGGAAAUGCCUUAUAGAUGACGGUACCUAAUGAGGAAGCCCCGGCCAACUAUGUGCCAGCAGCCC
rnacentral:rRNA from 1 species